GCGCCCGCCGAAGACACCCUCGAACUCUGUCUGAAGAUUGUAGUCUGAGUAAAAAUAUAAAUUAUUUAAAACUUUCAACAACGGAUCUCUUGGUUCCGGCAUCGAUGAAGAACGCAGCGAAAUGCGAUACGUAAUGUGAAUUGCAAAUUCAGUGAAUCAUCGAGUCUUUGAACGCACAUUGCGCCCCCUGGUAUUCCGGG
rnacentral:rRNA from 1 species